ACAGAGGUGCCGAGCGUUAGGCGGAAUCACUGGGCUUAAAGCGCGUGUAGGCGGGUCCGUAAGUGCCUUGUGAAAUCCCACGGCUCAACCGUGGAACUGCUGGGCAUACUGCGGGUCUUGGGCCAUCCAGGGGCGAGCGGAACAAGCGGUGGAGCGGUGAAAUGCGUAGAUAUCGCUUGGAACGCCAAUGGUGAAAACAGCUCGCUGGGGAUGCGCCGACGCUGAGACGCGAAGGCCAGGGGAGCGAACGGGA
rnacentral:rRNA from 1 species